CGAGACAGGUAGGUCCCAUUCUUACUGACCUGUAUCCCUGUGGAAUAUAGUUUUUAUCUGUGGAUCUGCCGCACACGUCAAGACAGCAGUUGAGCAGGAAGAAUUGGUGUCCAUUAAAGAAGCUUCAAACAGCCCGUCAGCAGAGACUGCUCGUGUGUGUCGGGAGCUCGGCCCUGGGUGAGAAGCUGAAUUUACAGAAGAAUGCAGUCUGGCUCGUUCCAAGUCCCGCCUCAGGAAGUGAUGAAUCCAUAUUCGGAGAAGGGAAUGAUCAACUAUAUACUGAAUUUGUACUGCAGUCGGGGUGAUGUUGCGGAUUAUAACUACCAUGCUGAAAUUCUUCGUAACAGUCCUGCACUGGGUACAAUAUAUUCUCCUGGAGAAGAAGCAGAGACAUGCUUUGUGAUUGAAAAUGUUGUUGUAGCUAGUGAUCGCAUCAAGAAAUUCAUAAAUGAGAGCCCCACGCAUGCUGUGUUUAAUUCUGG